rnacentral:rRNA from 1 species
GGACGAACGCUGGCGGCGUGCUUAACACAUGCAAGUCGAACGGAAAGGCCCUGCUUUUGUGGGGUGCUCGAGUGGCGAACGGGUGAGUAACACGUGAGUAACCUGCCCUUGACUUUGGGAUAACUUCAGGAAACUGGGGCUAAUACCGGAUAGGAGCUCCUGCUGCAUGGUGGGGGUUGGAAAGUUUCGGCGGUUGGGGAUGGACUCGCGGCUUAUCAGCUUGUUGGUGGGGUAGUGGCUUACCAAGGCUUUGACGGGUAGCCGGCCUGAGAGGGUGACUGGCCACAUUGGGACUGAGAUACGGCCCAGACUCCUACGGGAGGCAGCAGUGGGGAAUAUUGCACAAUGGGCGGAAGCCUGAUGCAGCAACGCCGCGUGCGGGAUGACGGCCUUCGGGUUGUAAACCGCUUUCGCCUGUGACGAAGCGUGAGUGACGGUAAUGGGUAAAGAAGCACCGGCUAACUACGUG